AACGAACGCUGGCGGCAGGCUUAACACAUGCAAGUCGAACGCCCCGCAAGGGGAGUGGCAGACGGGUGAGUAACGCGUGGGAAUCUACCCAUCCCUACGGAACAACUCCGGGAAACUGGAGCUAAUACCGUAUACGCCCUUCGGGGGAAAGAUUUAUCGGGGAUGGAUGAGCCCGCGUUGGAUUAGCUAGUUGGUGGGGUAAGGGCCUACCAAGGCGACGAUCCAUAGCUGGUCUGAGAGGAUGAUCAGCCACAUUGGGACUGAGACACGGCCCAAACUCCUACGGGAGGCAGCAGUGGGGAAUAUUGGACAAUGGGCGCAAGCCUGAUCCAGCCAUGCCGCGUGAGUGAUGAAGGCCUUAGGGUUGUAAAGCUCUUUCACCGAUGAAGAUAAUGACGGUAGUCGGAGAAGAAGCCCCGGCUAACUUCGUGCCAGCCGCCGCGGUAA
rnacentral:rRNA from 1 species